AUUAUCCUUUGUGUUUUAGGUCUUCGCAUCCAUUUUGCUUGUUCGCUCCUCCCUUCCAUUAUUGCAUUUAGGUUUUGUUGGGUUUGGUUGACGAGUUCGUUGGAGUGAUUUGGAUUGAUAUUUGGUGUGAUUUUGGUGGAGUUUUCCGGCGGAUGUGGGUUGUUCAUUGGUGGUCCGGUUGGUUUCCGGCAACAGCUAUAAAUAGUUCAUUCAGCUCUGUCUAUGUUGUUUUCUCUUUAUAUUCUGUCUAUAGUAAUUUUCUAUAUUUAUUCUGUAUUGUUGCUUCCUUUUCCUCUUUUCCUUUGUAGCUCCUCAAUGUAGCUUGCAAGGAAUCUCCAAGAAACUUGAAAAUGUAUCAUGGCUAUUUGUUAGUUAGUCCUAAAUUUUUUGUUCAGAAUGCAUUGCCCAAAGAUAUAAUUGUUAGAUCUGAGCUUACUGCAAUUGCGUCUGCUGAAGAUUGCCAUUUACUACCUGCUAUGUACAGUAUCAGACUCAUUGCUUUUUGAUGAAUUUGUCAACGAUUAUUUAUUUCUUUUAUUGCAUUCGGUGCCUGCUAAGUUAGUUCCAUGAAAUGGGCGUUUAUGUAAAGAUGUCUAUGGAAUUUAGCCAAACUACAUUUUGUGUAUAUUUGCCAGAGACUGGUUGAGGUUGAACUAGCAGCAUGUCAAAUUAAAGGAUUCUUUUGAGUUAUUCUGUUCUAA